AGUCUCGUGGUGUAGCGGUUAUCACGUAUCGUUCACAAAUCAUAUAAAAUGUGAGCAUUGUUCCGAUAAGGUCCCGAGUUCGAUCCUCGGCGAGACUA